AACGCACAUUGCGCCCGCCAGUAUUCUGGCGGGCAUGCCUGUUCGAGCGUCAUUUCAACCCUCAAGCCCCUGGGCUUGGUGUUGGAGAUCGGCGUGCCCUCCGGGGCGCGCCGGCUCCCAAAUAUAGUGGCGGUCUCGCUGUAGCUUCCUCUGCGUAGUAGCACACCUCGCACUGGGAAACAGCCUGGCCACGCCGUUAAACCCCCCACUUCUGAAAGGUUGACCUCGGAUCAGGUAGGAAUACCCGCUGAACUUAA
rnacentral:misc_RNA from 1 species